CCUGAUUUUCAAGAAUAUGACCCCAGGCAAUUUUUGAGUUGAUCUUGCUUCGAAGAUAUCAUUCAAAAUGGUAUCUGUGGUACCAUCUAUUAUUGUUUGAAGAUUUUUUGAGAUUCAUGGAAAUUUAUAAUUUCAAUUGCACAAAUAAAU